rnacentral:rRNA from 1 species
GACGAACGCUGGCGGCGUGCUUAACACAUGCAAGUCGAACGCUGAGGCCCAGCUUGCUGGGUGGAUGAGUGGCGAACGGGUGAGUAACACGUGAGUAACCUGCCCCCUUCUUUGGGAUAACGCCCGGAAACGGGUGCUAAUACUGGAUAUUCACUGGCCUUCGCAUGGGGGUUGGUGGAAAGGUUUUUCUGGUGGGGGAUGGGCUCGCGGCCUAUCAGCUUGUUGGUGGGGUGAUGGCCUACCAAGGCUUUGACGGGUAGCCGGCCUGAGAGGGUGACCGGUCACAUUGGGACUGAGAUACGGCCCAGACUCCUACGGGAGGCAGCAGUGGGGAAUAUUGCACAAUGGGCGAAAGCCUGAUGCAGCGACGCCGCGUGAGGGAUGACGGCCUUCGGGUUGUAAACCUCUUUCGCUCAUGGUCAAGCCGCAGCUUUGGGUUGUGGUGAGGGUAGUGGGUAAAGAAGCGCCGGCUAACUACGUGCCAGCAGCCGCGGUAAUACGUAGGGCGCGAGCGUUGUCCGGAAUUAUUGGGCGUAAAGGGCUUGUAGGCGGUUGGUCGCGUCUGCCGUGAAAUCCUCUGGCUUAACUGGGGGCGUGCGGUGGGUACGGGCUGACUUGAGUGCGGUAGGGGAGACUGGAACUCCUGGUGUAGCGGUGGAAUGCGCAGAUAUCAGGAAGAACACCGGUGGCGAAGGCGGGUCUCUGGGCCGUUACUGACGCUGAGGAGCGAAAGCGUGGGGAGCGAACAGG